GGGAAUAGGGGACUGCAGCUUGGCCAAUAGGUGUCGGCAAUGCUGUAGCCAUGACCAAGAGGGGUGAGGCGCAUGGAAGCAAUGGGAUGGAGGACGAGGAGCAGGAGUGUGGCUCAGCCCUGUCUGUCUUUUCCUUGUCCUCUCCAGCUCCUUUGAGAAGUCCAUAAUACUGGGGAAAGUUGAAGGAAAGAGAAGAAGAGGAUGACCAGCAGCAAGGUGGAUGGACUUGAUUACAACAGCAAUGAAUGUACCACUGAGAGACCUUAAAGGCCAACUUGAAGACAGAUCAUCCUGGAGAGAAUCUAUGUGUUCGCUGUUCCGAUUCUCCUCUGCAAAGCAGCAUCAGGAGUGGAGAGUUUUCAGGGGAGAAGCAGCAGCAAAAGAAGUUCCCAGAGCAGUCUACAUACCAAAAGGACUGAAAAAAAUGGUUCUCUAUCCCAAAAGGGCUCACAGUCUAAAAAGAAACAUAAGAGAAUACCAGCAUCAGCAACCAGGGGCGAUGUUAUGUUGGGUUGAACAGGGACACUUGCUAUCCUGCUAAAUAUAAGAGCCACCAUUUUAAAAGAUGCCUCUUUACCUAGUUAGCAGAGGUGAGAGCUGCAUGCAAAGCUGAUUGCUUAGUGAUUCUUUAAAGUUUCUGUCUGUUCAUAAACUAGAUACCACAUUAUUCAUUAAUGGGCUGGUUUGGAGAAUGCUUUGUUCCCUGGUCUGACUCCAUGGAAAAAGGAUGUGUGUCUUCUGUGAAUGCACACAUUCUUCCGCUCUCCUGGU